rnacentral:lncRNA from 10 species
GCCAAUAUUUUAUACCUGCUUCAAGAAAACAUUAUUUAUAUUGUAUAAGAUGAGGUUUAAAAUGCCUGUCUAUAUUUUUUGAAGGGUCUCUUUAAAAGAAAUUAUCUAUUCAUAAUUGAAAUUCUCCAGGCAAAUCAGUUAUCAGCAUUUUCAACAGAACAAGUCUGGCUAGAGUGCAGGGGCCCGAUCUCAGGUUCAAGAAAGUCUCAUGUCUCAGCCUCCCAAAUAACCGCGAUUACAGCCAUCCGUUGCACACUGGUAAACU